AGUGAGCGCUGGCGGUAGGCCUAACACAUGCAAGUCGAACGGCAGCACAGUAAGAGCUUGCUCUUACGGGUGGCGAGUGGCGGACGGGUGAGGAAUACAUCGGAAUCUACUUUUUCGUGGGGGAUAACGUAGGGAAACUUACGCUAAUACCGCAUACGACCUACGGGUGAAAGCAGGGGAUCUUCGGACCUUGCGCGAUUGAAUGAGCCGAUGUCGGAUUAGCUAGUUGGCGGGGUAAAGGCCCACCAAGGCGAUGAUCCGUAGCUGGUCUGAGAGGAUGAUCAGCCACACUGGAACUGAGACACGGUCCAGACUCCUACGGGAGGCAGCAGUGGGGAAUAUUGGACAAUGGGCGCAAGCCUGAUCCAGCCAUACCGCGUGGGUGAAGAAGGCCUUCGGGUUGUAAAGCCCUUUUGUUGGGAAAGAAAAGCAGCAGGUUAAUACCCCGCUGUUCUGACGGUACCCAAAGAAUAAGCACCGGCUAACUUCGUG
rnacentral:rRNA from 1 species